AUGCGCGGCAGCAUUGCCGCUGCAGUGAUGCUCGGCGCCGGCCUCCGUGCCACAAUCAGCAGGGCGAUGGCGGCUCUGCUCCGGAUGCUUCGAAUCGCUUCACCAGGCGGGAAGGCGCCAUGGUCGGAGCUCCCGCCGGAGAUGCUGGCACUCGUGCUCUCCCGCCUUCCCACCCACACCGACCGCGUCCGCGUCCGCGCCGUCUGCCAGGCGUGGCGCUCCGCCGCGCGCCUGCAUCCGCUGCCCCCGCCGCUCCCGUGGCUCUUCCUCCGCGGUGACACCUUCGUCACCCUCCCCGACGGCGCACGCCACUGCAUCCGCAGGCCACUCGACUGCAACAGAACGCCCUCAAGUUUCCCCACUGGCAGCAUGCUCUUCCUCGUGUUAGGAGCAAGCCAUGCCCAUGUGCGUGUGCGUGAGCAAGGUGUGUGCAUGCUAGUUAGUUGGCUUAGUGGCCGGCGGGUCUGUGCGUGCUGCAUGUGCGGUGGCGCAUGA
rnacentral:rRNA from 1 species